UUUUCCAAAAACAUAUUUAAUAGUUAUAAUUAUUAAUAUUACCUGCUCAAUGAAUUUUAAAUAGCCGCAGUUCAUACUGUGCUAAGGUAGCAUAAUCAUUUGUCUUUUAAUUAAAGACUAGAAUGAAAGGUUAAACAUUUAAAUUACUUUAAAAAUAUUUAAUUUUAAAAUUAUUAUAGAUGUAAUAAAACAUUUAUUAAAUAGAUAGACGACAAGACCCUAUUGAGCUUAACUGAAGUUUAACUGGGGCAGUUAAUUAAUUAAUACCUUAAUUAUAUUUCAUUUAAUGACCUAAUCCAAUUAACUAAAUGAUCAAGUUACCAUAGGGAUAACAGCGUAAUAUCUUUCUAUAGCUCUUAUAUAAAAACAUGAUUACGACCUCGAUGUUGAAUUAAUUAUUCUAAUAGAUGCAUCCAUCNAAAAGAAAGUC
rnacentral:rRNA from 1 species